rnacentral:rRNA from 1 species
ACGAACGCUGGCGGCGUGCCUAAUACCUGCAAGUAGAACGCUGAAGGAGGAGCUUGCUUCUCUGGAUGAGUUGCGAACGGGUGAGUAACGCGUAGGUAACCUGCCUGGUAGCGGGGGAUAACUAUUGGAAACGAUAGCUAAUACCGCAUAAUAGUAGAUGUUGCAUGACAUUUGCUUAAAAGGUGCAAUUGCAUCACUACCAGAUGGACCUGCGUUGUAUUAGCUAGUUGGUGAGGUAACGGCUCACCAAGGCAACGAUACAUAGCCGACCUGAGAGGGUGAUCGGCCACACUGGGACUGAGACACGGCCCAGACUCCUACGGGAGGCAGCAGUAGGGAAUCUUCGGCAAUGGACGGAAGUCUGACCGAGCAACGCCGCGUGAGUGAAGAAGGUUUUCGGAUCGUAAAGCUCUGUUGUAAGAGAAGAACGAGUGUGAGAGUGGAAAGUUCACACUGUGACGGUAUCUUACCAGAAAGGGACGGCUAACUACGUG